rnacentral:rRNA from 1 species
GACGAACGCUGGCGGCGUGCUUAACACAUGCAAGUCGAACGGAAAGGCCCUGCUUUUGUGGGGUGCUCGAGUGGCGAACGGGUGAGUAACACGUGAGUAACCUUCCCUUGACUUUGGGAUAACUUCAGGAAACUGCGGCUAAUACCGGAUAGGAGCUCCUGCUGCAUGGUGGGGGUUGGAAAGUUUCGGCGGUUGGGGAUGGACUCGCGGCUUAUCAGCUUGUUGGUGGGGUAGUGGCUUACCAAGGCUUUGACGGGUAGCCGGCCUGAGAGGGUGACCGGCCACAUUGGGACUGAGAUACGGCCCAGACUCCUACGGGAGGCAGCAGUGGGGAAUAUUGCCCAAUGGGCGGAAGCCUGAUGCAGCAACGCCGCGUGCGGGAUGACGGCCUUCGUGUUGUAAACCGCUUUCGCCUGUGACGAAGCGUGAGUGACGGUAAUGGGUAAAGAAGCACCGGCUAACUACGUG